rnacentral:rRNA from 1 species
UCCCAGCAGUCCAAGUCGCAGCCACAUUUGUUGGGUCUAAAAUAUCCGUAGCUUGCCUCUCAAGUCUUUUGUGAAAUCGGGACUCUUAAGGUUCCGGCGGGCAAAAGAUACUGUGAGGCUAGAGACCGGGAGGUGCAGGAAGUACGUACAGGGUAGCGGUAAAAUGCGUUGAUCCUAUAUGGACUAACAGUCGCGAAGGCGUCCUGCAAGAACGGUUCUGACAGUGAGGGAUGAAGGCUAGGGGCGCAAAGUG